rnacentral:siRNA from 1 species
GGGGAUGUAGCUCAAAUGGUA